AAAUUAAAAGUACAUUCCUAUAAAUACUCUGUUUAAUUUUAUAAUAAUGUUACUCCCAUCUUACAAUCCAUAAUACAAAUCCCAUGCAUGGCUCUACGUUAGCAGUUUUACCAUAUUGGGAUGACUGAAUAAUCGUGAAUUUCAUACGCGCAAACUAGCACAUGUGCGAAGCAGUUACAAAAACUGGCACAAUGCUAAAUGGCAUAAGUGCAAAUGGGCAUAACUGCACAAAAAGAAUUCCAAACAUUGGCAUAAGUGCAAACUGCUAUAAGUGCAAACUGGCAUAUUUGUAAAUUAGCAUAAGUGCGCUAAAUAGAUUAACAAACAUUCGCUUAAGUGUGAAUUGCCAUAAGUGGGAAAUGGUAUAAGUGUGAAGCAGUUGCAAAAACUCACAAAAGUGCAAACAACAUAAAUGCGAACUGGCAUAAGUGUGCCAAAUAAAUUUGCAAAAUUUAGCAUAAUUCCAAACUGGCAUAACUGCAAACUAGCAUAAGGGCGAAAUGCCAAUUAGCACUUAGGCCAAUGUUUGCAAAUUUAUUACACGCACUCAUGUCAGUUCGCACUUCUGCCAGUGUUUGUAACUGUUUUGUACUUAAUCAAAUUUUGCACUUAUGCCUAUUCGUAAUGUUUGCUAACCUGUUUGGCGCACUAAUGCCAAUUUACACUUUUUCCAGUUUGCAAGUUUAAAGCUAUAGGUUAUCCUAUAGCUUUAAACUUUAGUCCAGAUAAUUCUUUUAACCCAGAUAAUAUUCAUAUAUAUGACUACACUAAUGGUUAGUGUACACUUAUGAUCUGGACUACAUUAAUGUUUUAUGACAAAUUCACUCAUGGCCAAAUCUAAUAUGGCAGCUGGAAAAGGCAAAGGAUCUUUUUAGUCUAACCAAGCUAUACAACUUAAUAAAAGUUUGUGCAUCGACUUCUCACGAAUCAUACACAGAGUCGAUUGUCGAUGCAAUAAUUACUGAUUCGUGAAAGCGGGCAACUUUUGCUAGUCUUAAAGUGCCUUAAAUCCAACAGAUAUCAUCGUUAUAAUAUUACUUUGUUUGUAAAUUGUUUUA
rnacentral:lncRNA from 1 species